rnacentral:rRNA from 1 species
AGAGUUUGAUCCUGGCUCAGGAUGAACGCUAGCGGUAUGCUUAACACAUGCAAGUCGUACGAGAGUUUUUAACUCAAGUGGCGGACGGGUGAGUAACACGUGAGAAUUUACCUUUAGGAGGGGGAUAACAAUUGGAAACGAUUGCUAAUACCCCAUAUGCUUUUUUAAGUGAAAUGGAUUUUUCCGCCUAAAGAAAAGCUCGCGGCUGAUUAGCUAGUUGGUAAGGUAAUGGCUUACCAAGGCGACGAUCAGUAUCUGGUUUGAGAGGACGAUCAGACACACUGGAACUGAGACACGGUCCAGACUCCUACGGGAGGCAGCAGUGGGGAAUUUUCCGCAAUGGGCGAAAGCCUGACGGAGCAAUACCGCGUGAGGGAAGAAAGCCUACUGGGUUGUAAACCUCUUUUUUCAGGGAGGAAAAAAAUGACGUGUACCUGAAGAAUAAGCAUCGGCUAACUCCGUGCCAGCAGCCGCGGUAAGACGGAGGAUGCAAGUGUUAUCCGGAAUUACUGGGCGUAAAGCGUCUGUAGGUUGUUUAAUAAGUCAACUGUUAAAUCUUGAGGCUUAACUUCAAAACAGCAGUCGAAACUAUUAGACUAGAGUAUAGUAGGGGUAAAGGGAAUUUCCAGUGGGGCGGUGAAAUGCGUAGAUAUUGGAAAGAACACCGAUGGCGAAAGCACUUUACUGGGCUAUUACUGACACUCAGAGACGAAAGCUAGGGUAGCAAAUGGGAUUAGAUACCCCAGUAGUCCUAGCUGUAAACAAUGGAUACUAGAUGUUGAACAGAUCGACCUGUGCAG